GACAUUCCUCCCGGGCCCUGCGCCCUGCAGCGUGGUAACCCCACUGCCGGAGACCGUGCGCAACCCAGCUGCUAGACCCCCGGCGUUGAGCGGCAAAACCCCGCCCUGAGCGGCUUGCCCCGCCCCCGGCUCGUCACUCAUGCAACUCACCCAAUGGUGGCGGCGGGGGGCGGGGCUAGGGCUGAGGGCGCCGUGCGCCGAAGCUUGUGGCGUCAAUGCGCCUGCCGUGUCCAUGGAGAGAAGCUGAAGCAGCCGACCUUCGGCCCGAGGCACCGGGGCGCCGGGACGGCGAAGAUGUCGGCUUCCUUAGUCCGGGCAACUGUCCGGGCUGUGAGCAAGAGGAAGCUGCAGCCCACCCGGGCAGCCCUCACCCUGACACCUUCAGCAGUAAACAAGAUAAAACAACUUCUUAAAGAUAAGCCUGAGCAUGUAGGUGUAAAAGUUGGUGUCCGAACCAGGGGCUGUAAUGGCCUUUCUUAUACUCUAGAAUAUACAAAGACAAAAGGAGAUUCUGAUGAAGAAGUUAUUCAAGAUGAUGGAGCCUUCCUCUGUCACCCAGGCUGGAGUACAGUGGCAUGAUCUCAGCUCACUGCAACCUCCGCCUCCCGGAUUCAAGCAAUUCCCUGCCUCAGCCUCCCAAGUAGCUGUGAUUACAGGCAUCUGCCACCACGCCUGGAUAAUUUUUGUAUUUUUAGUAAAGAUGGGGUUUCACCAUCUUGGCCAGGCUGGUCUUGAACUCCUGACCUCAUGAUCCACCCGCCUCAGCCUCCCAAAGUGCUGGGAUUACAGGUGUGAGCCACUGCACCCAGCCGACCUUGAGCAAAUUACUUCUCUGUGCCUUUAUUGUAGAAAACAACUUCUAGAAUUGUUGCUAGGAUUCAAUGAGUUAACACAUACAUAGAACAGCUCCUAGCACAUAAUAAGCAGCUAAAUACUUAUUAGCUACUACUAUAAUUGGUACCAGCCAUGUGACCUGGAGCGUGGGCUUCAUUUCCUCACACCUCCCGGGGUCUGCCAGGUCAGAUGCAAUAAUGGGUGUAAAAGACAUUUAUGUACUGUUAAGGUACAUCACAAAAUGUAUAGUAUCAUCACCACAGAUUUAGUUACUUCUAAUGUUGAUUGUUUACUGUCCCUACAGGUAAGCUUACAAUGUAGGAAUCUUUUUGUCUUCUGUCACUGAUGCAUCCUGACCUCCAAAAACAGUGCCUGGUACAUAAAGCACUCAAUAGAGAGUUGUUGAAUUUCUUGAAUGGAUCAAUAAAUUAAUGAACAACUAAAUAAGUGAUCCUGGCUGUCUGAGUCAGCUCAAAUGGCCAUAACAAAAUAUCACAGAUUAGGUGGCUUAAGAAACAGAAAUUUAUUUCUUACUCUCCUGGAGGCUGAAGUCCAAAAUCAAGGCACUGGCCAUUUUGGUCCCUGGUGAGGGCUCUCUUCCUGGCUUGCAGGUGGCUGCCUUCUUUGUGUGUCCUUACACAGCAGAAAGACAGACAGAAAGAGAGAAGGACAGGGAGAGAUAGUGAGGGCUGGUGUCUCUUCUUACAGGGGCACAAAUCUCAUCACCAGGGCCCCACUCUUAUAACCUCUUUAACCUUAAUUACUUCCUCAGAGGCCCUACCUCCAAAUACUGUCACAUUAGAGGUUAGGGUUUCAACAUAUGCAUUUUGGGAGGACACAAUUCAGUCCAUAACACGGCAUGAGUGCACACAUAAGUUUCCAUAAACAUAGAAACAAAAAUUCCGUAAAUUCGUUGUGGCUUGUCACCUCUUGACAUGAACUUCUUUGAGCUCUGGCCAUCUCAGGAUACCUGCACCACCACCAUUAGCACCGUGGCCUUUGUCUUCUUUGCAAGCCUAAACUUAAGUUCUUCAGUGAUCUGAACCCACAGCUAGACCAAAAUCUUCUGCUAAGUUGCUCUCCUUUUGACUGUCUGGCUGAGCUGUUGAAGGCCACAAAAUAUUUAGCAGGUAAAAGUACUGUUCAGGAACUAUAAUAAUUUAUUUUGUAUUCAUGGUGCUUUUCUGGCUUAUAGAACAUUGUUAAUAAGUUGCUGUAAUGUGCGCUUAUAUUUAUGAAUUUAUAAACAUUAUGAAUAAUGUGAUGAUUAUUGAGAGGCAUAUUGCCAAAUGUCCAUAUACUGAUGAUUAGUCUAUGUAUUUAUCAAUGUAUAUAAAUAUGUCAGUUUUGUUUUCAGGGAAAAAACUGUUUGCAAUCUAUAACUUCCAAGGCUCUUAUCUCUAAAUUGAACAUGUGCCUAGGGGUAUCAAACAGAACAAGACCCCAGAUAGUAACUAAAUAGUCCUUUUUCUUAUGACAGCUACUUAAUCUGUAACAAAACAAGCAAACAUAAAAACUAAGUGAUCUCUAAAGCUUACCACCAAGAAAAUAAAUUAGCAACUGAACAAAGCGCCUUCCUUCAGGCUAGAUCUUACAUUCACACACAGUAUCGACUUCAAGCCACUUCAGAAGAGACUCAGAAAGCUGCUGCGCCUGGCCUUGCCCUUAGGUUUGUUAGCUUCAGGGUCACAGUCCCAGCGGGGAGCUGACCCAUUAGUCACACCUGCUUCACAGCCCUGCCAGCACUCACAGGGCCCAGUGAGAAGCCACAGGCAUGCAUGUUGGUAGCCAGGCCAGGAGACCCAAGGGCCACGCCCGUAGUUCUACAGAGUCAUGUUAACCGUGGUUGUUAUGGAGACAGCCAGUGUUCUUCAUGAAUGUGUAGCUGUUUAGUCACUCUGCCUGGGUUCGGGGACAGGCUGGCUCGUUACAAAGGCACCCACUACUGAAGACAGGCUCAGAGGCAGGAGUGGCCCAGCCCUGCCUUGUAGAUGCUGAUUGAGCUCUGCUACAGAAAAUGCUUGACACAAGACUGUGCACCCCACCCCCAUCCCAAACAUGGCUUGACUCUUAAAACAGCCCUGUAUAACCACAAUUGGCUUGUUGCCCUGUUGUUGGCUGCACACACUGAUUUUUCCACAACCUUCAAAACCCUUCCUGAAGGGUGUUGUGGAGCGAAUCCCAGAAGAUAAACACCGUGUGAAUGAACCCAAACGCAGAGGGCUGUGAUUACAGACCCUAGAGCAGCCUUCGAAGUAUGCAGGGUUAUUCCCUAAGGCACCACCUUCUCACUAACCAAAAUGGGACUGACUGGUGCUGAGUCCCUCUCGCUUAUUCUGCUAGGAUGAAGCCUGCUGGAUGCGAACUUUGUGCUGUGCUUUUUGUAUUUGCUAUUUGCAGAGCAGAACAUUAUUUUUUGGUGGAAGAUAGAGAUGUGGAUAUGUGAAUCCCUGCCCUCAAUUAACUCAUAAUCUCUUGGACUCACAUAUUAGCAAUAAGAGGGUGGAAUAGAAAAGCGGCUCCUAACUGAUACAGGGUUAAGCCUGUGUAAUGACAAAUUUCAGAGCUGAACAAGCAGAGGACAAAUCACUUAAAUGCAUGGCUUUAGAGCACUGAGGUCAGAACUACACAGCCAUCAAAAAGAAUGAGGCAAAGCCUGUGUGCUGAUAUGGAAUAAGCCUAAAACACACCAGAGACUGACAAAGUAAGGAGCAGUACAGCCUGUAUGAUGUGUUCCCUUUUGUGGAGAGGAGAGGGGGAGGAGUGCAGAGGGAGUGGAGGGGGAGGGUGGGAAAAUGCAGAGAAUAAGCCCAGAGCAUUCCUAGGAAACUGGCAACAGAUUGUUUGUGUGUUUGUUUGUUUGUUUUGUUUUGAGACUGAAUCUCACUCUGUUGCCCAGGCUGGAGUGCAGUGGUGCGAUCUCGGCUCACUGCAAUCUCCGCCUCCCAAGUUCAACCAAUUCUCCUGUCUCAGCCUCCCGAGUAGCUGGGACUAUAGGCGCAUGCCACUAUGCCCAGCUAGUUUUUGUAGUUUUAGUAGUGAUGGGGUUUCACCAUAUUGGUCAGGCUGGUCUCGAACUCCUGACCUCAGGUGAUCCACCCGCCCCCGCCUCCCAGAGUGCUGGGAUUACAGGCCUGAGCCACCGCACUCGACCUCCCCGCCUUUUUUUUAAAAAAAGCAACUUUGUUGGGGGUGUAACUGAGAGACAAUAAGCUGCACAUAUUUAAAGUAUAUAGUUUGAUAUAUGUAUACACCAGCAAAACUAUCAUCUCAAAAAGUACACAUCUUCAUCCCCCUCAAAGUUUUCUUGGACCCCUUGGCAAUGCCUCCCUCUUGAUCUUCCCCACCCAUUCCUCAUUCCCUAGCCAACACUCCAACACUGAUGUGCUUUCUGUCAAUACAGAUUAGUUGGUAUUUUCUAGAAUUUUUUUUUUUGAGAUGGAGUCUCGCUUUAUCACCCAGGCAGGAGUGCAGUGGUGCGAUCUCAGCUCACUGCAACCUCCGCCUCCUGGGUUCAAGCGAUUCUCCUGCCUCAGCCUCCUGAGUAGCUGGGAUUACAAGCACGUGGCACCAUGCCCGGAUAAUUUUUGUGUUUUUAGUAGAGACAGGGUUUCACUAAUGUUGGCCAGCCUGGUCUCAAACUCCCGACCUUAGGUGAUCCACCCGCUUACACCCCGAAAAGUACUGGGAUUAUAGCCAUGCCGAAAAGUACUGGGAUUAUAGGCAUGAGCCACCGUGCCCGGCCUAGAAUUUAUAUAAAUGGAAUUAUAUGAUAUUUGCUCUUUUUUGUCUGGCUUAUCACACAAUAAUUAUUUUGAGAUUCAUCCAUGUUGUGUGUAUCAAUAGUUCCUUUCUUUUUAAUGUUGAGUAAUAUUUUAUUAUGUGGAUAUAUCACAGUUUUGUAAUAUACAUUUGCCCAUUGAUGAGCAUUUGGGUGGUUUUCUGUUUUGGGCUAUUACAAAUAAAGCUGCUAUGAACAUCUGUA